AUUGAACGCUGGCGGCAGGCCUAACACAUGCAAGUCGAACGAGUGGCGGACGGGCGAGUAAUGUCUGGGAAACUGCCUGAUGGAGGGGGAUAACUACUGGAAACGGUAGCUAAUACCGCAUACCAUCGGAUGUGCCCAGAUGGGAUUAGCUAGUAGGUGGGGUAAAGGCUCACCUAGGAGACGAUCCCUAGCUGGUCUGAGAGGAUGACCAGCCACACUGGAACUGAGACACUGUCCAGACUACUACGAGAGGCAGCAGUGGGGAAGAUUGCGCAAUGGGCGCAAACAUGAUGAAGCCGUGCCGCGUGUAUGAAGUAAGCCUUCGGGUUGUAGAGUACUUUCAGCGGUAAAUCGCUACCCGCAGGAGAAGCACCGGCUAACUACGUGCCAGCAGCCGCGGUAAUUC
rnacentral:rRNA from 1 species